AUGUAAUUUCUUUAAAAAAAAAGAAGAAAAAAAAGAAAAGAAAAACAAAAGAGAAAAAUACACUUGUCGAGACCGUAGAGUCUAACAGAUAUAAAAUGCUCGGAAAAGUUGAGUAGAAAAAGAAUCAAGAGAAGUGAAAUUAACCCCCAGAGUAUAUGUGAUGCACAGAAAAAGAAAAAGAAAAAUCACACAACAUGACUACCGAGUUCAAAACCCUUUGUUAUCCAAUUUUUUU
rnacentral:lncRNA from 1 species